rnacentral:snRNA from 1 species
GGAUGUGAGGGUGAUCUGGCUGCAACAUCUGUCACCCCAUUGAUCGCCAGGGUUGAGUCAGCUGAUCUGGAUGGGUAGGCGUGUGUCCCCUUCCUCCCUCACCGCUCCGUGUGUGUCCCUCCCAAAGCUGCGUGCUUGGUCGAAGAGGUUGACCUUCCCCAAUAGAGGAGGACCGUUCUUUGGUCACGGGUAUAUGAGUAGCUGUGCUUCCUUGCUAGAACCUCCGAACGAGCUCUCAAGGUCCCUUUGUAGGAGAAUAUAGGGUAGUCAAGCUUCUAAGACUCCAGACACAACCAAAUGAGGCGCUGCACAUGGCAGUCUGCCUUUCUUU